UAUGAGAGUCAUACCCUUCUGUAACCACGAUGGAGCUUUAUUAGCUGUUGAGCUGGAUACUUUUCUAAAAUUAAGGAUGUGAAAUUAAGCUUUUAUGGAAAACGGUGUUCUGGUUCAUAUGAAUUGCAAAAAUUGCUAGGUGACACUAUUUAUUUAUUCUUUGCUCUGUAAAAAUCAUUGGUAUGAGCGAGCUAAAGUCACAACUUGCAUGCUCUAUCACUUUUAACAGAGUUGAUGACUUGCAAAAGCCUAUUGAGAAGCCAAUGAACAUUAAUUGGGAAAGCUAUGCAAGAUGUGCCGUUUAUGCCUUGCAAAUUAGUGGAUAUGAUUUCAGAUAGGUUUGGGUGAUCUGAUAAUGCCCAUUUGGUCCAUCUGCAACUAAAUGGGCUAAAUGGUCCCAUUAAAGCUGUUUCCAAGGAAGUAGAAUGGAUUGACUAGCUUUUCUAUACUUAUGCCGAUAGCUCAUCUGGCAUGAUUGACCUAGAAGGCAUCGAAACUCUUUCCUCUCAUCUUGAUUUCCCCCAUACCAAGGCUCGGAUUCUG